UACGAAGGGGGCUAGCGUUGUUCGGAAUUACUGGGCGUAAAGGGCGCGUAGGCGGUUAAAUAAGUUAGGUGUGAAAUCCCGGGGCUCAACCUCGGCAUAGCAUUUAAAACUAUAUAACUAGAAUACAAGAGAGGACAGUGGAAUUCCUAGUGUAGAGGUGAAAUUCGUAGAUAUUAGGAAGAACAUCGGAGGCGAAGGCGGCUGUCUGGCUUGAUAUUGACGCUGAGGCGCGAAAGCGUGGGUAGCAAACAGG
rnacentral:rRNA from 1 species